UACGGAGGGGGCUAGCGUUGUUCGGAAUUACUGGGCGUAAAGCGCACGUAGGCGGCGAUUUAAGUCAGAGGUGAAAGCCCGGGGCUCAACCCCGGAAUUGCCUUUGAGACUGCAUCGCUAGAAUUGUGGAGAGGUAAGUGGAAUUCCGAGUGUAGAGGUGAAAUUCGUAGAUAUUCGGAAGAACACCAGUGGCGAAGGCGACUUACUGGACACAUAUUGACGCUGAGGUGCGAAAGCGUGGGGAGCAAACAGG
rnacentral:rRNA from 1 species